GAAAAUUAAAUCUUUCCUUAUUAGUGUGGUGUGCCAAAGAAAGAAUGAGAGAAAUUAGUGCGCUGCCAAUUAUCAAAGGGAUUGAUUGGCUUAGUAUAAUUAUUAAUUGAUUUUAUUUUUGAUUUAUGGAAAAUAAAGGGAAAUGAUAAUUAUCUUUUCCUUAGCUAGGUUUUGGUAAUUGGGACAUUUUAAUAGAAUUAAGAAAGAGCUUGAAGACUCAUUUGGCUUGGUGGCUGUCAUGUGCCUAGAGAGAGAAGGAGAUAGAGUGGGCAUGAGAUAGAGAGAGAAACAAAGGAAGAGAGAAGAAGAAGAAGAAGAAGAGAAUAAAGGAUUCAAUCCUAGGUUUGUUCGUGCUUUCGUGUCGUGCCUUCGAGCUUGUCGUGUCGUGCCGUGCUAAGCCCGUGUCGUGUCGUGCCUGGCCCAAGCCCAUAUUUUUUCGUGUCGUGUUGUGCUCGUGCCUCCCGGGCUCGUGCCGGUUUCGUGCCGUGCUCAAAAGCCCGGCCCGUAUUUACAGCUCUACGUCCAACAGUGGCAACGACAUCGUAUUCCCUAUAGCGACGACAUGUCAUCGCUAUAGGUCCCAGCGAUAUAACUCCCCAGGCAGAGCCUUUCUUCCUCAUUUCUGGUCAUUUUUUCCCAAAACAGAGACGAUUUCUCUGUUUUCCUCCGCCUCCCAGCGCUGCCUAGAGCCAUUUUUGGCCCCCUUUUGUUAAGGUGGCUUAGUUUGCUGGUAUAUUUGUCCAUUUAGCUGACUGAUUUAUUGCACUUUUUUGUUGUGUUUUCGGAACGGUCAACCCCAAAAGUUAAUGAGGUGAGAAAAAAGGCCAAGCUCUUGAAGCAUGUUCAAAAGAACUUGUGACAGAAGACAAACAUGGUUUGGUCAUUGAUUAGCCAAAACAAGACAAAAAAAAAUAAAGUGUUCUCAUUAAAG